UACGUAGGGUGCAAGCGUUGUCCGGAAUCAUUGGGCGUAAAGCGCGCGUAGGUGGCCAUUUAAGUCCGCUGUGAAAGUCAAAGGCUCAACCUUUGAAAGCCGGUGGAUACUGGAUGGCUAGAGUACGGAAGAGGCGAGUGGAAUGCCUGGUGUAGCGGUGGAAUGCGCAGAUAUCAGGAGGAACACCAAUAGCGAAGGCAGCUCGCUGGGACGUUACUGACACUGAGGCGCGAAAGCGUGGGGGAGCGAACAGG
rnacentral:rRNA from 1 species